UACGUAGGUGGCGAGCGUUGUCCGGAAUUACUGGGCGUAAAGGGCGCGUAGGCGGCCUAUUAAGUCAGAUGUGAAACCCCCAGGCUCAACUUGGGGAUUGCAUAUGAAACUGGUGGGCUUGAGUGUCGGAGAGGAAAGUGGAAUUCCUAGUGUAGCGGUGAAAUGCGUAGAUAUUAGGAGGAACACCAGUGGCGAAGGCGACUUUCUGGACGAUAACUGACGCUGAGGCGCGAAAGCGUGGGGAGCAAACAGG
rnacentral:rRNA from 1 species